AAUCUAUACUCCAGCACUUUGCAUUAUUGCGUUGCUUUAACUGGUUUCUGAUCCCCUCUCAUCUUCCCAACAGAACAAUCAAUCGAAGCCGGAAACGUUGUUUGUUGCUUAGCGAGGUCUCAAAACUGAACGGGUUUCUUAGGAAGAGAAGAUGGGGUUCAUUAUGGAAUUUGCUGAGAAUUUGGUUCUGAGGUUAAUGGAGGAUCCAAAGGAGAGGGACCGGAAGUUCAGGGAGCGCGUGUAUGCUGUCAAGGAUCGAUGCCAAAAGACUAAGGAGAUGUGGAGCUAUCCCCUUCGCCCUUAUGGGUUUUGGACAUUUGAGCGCCACAAUGCACAGCUUGCUUGGGAUGCUCAGAUUAGCCAGGUGCCUGGUCGAAGGGACCCCUAUGAUGACCUCCUUCAAGAUAGCUAUGGUUCCCCCAAGUGAAUGAAGGCAUUGACUCAAGAAAGCUCAGUUUCCU